GAUGAACGCUGGCGGCGUGCCUAAUACAUGCAAGUCGAGCGAAAAGGCGCGGCGCUUGCUCCUCUGACGUUAGCGGAGGACGGGUGAGUAACACGUGUAUCCCCUACCUAUCUGUCUGGUAUAUCUUCGGGAAACCGGCGCUAAUCCCGGAUAAUAUAUUGCACCGCGUGGGUCAUUGGUGAAAUACGGUUUUUUCGGCGGUUGUCGAUGGAUUCGAGGCUCAUUAGCUAGUUGGUGAGGUAGUGGCUUACCAAGGCUAUGACGGGUAGCCGGCCUGAGAGGGUGACCGGCCACAUUGGGACUGAGGUACGGACCAGACUCCUACGGGAGGCAGCAGUGGGGAAUAUUGCACAAUGGGCGGAAGCGUGAUGCAGCAACGCCGCGUGCGGGAUGACGGCCUUCGGGUUGUAAACAGCUUUCGACUGUGACGAAGCGUGAGUGACGGUAAUGGGUAAAGAAGCACCGGCUAACUACGUG
rnacentral:rRNA from 1 species